rnacentral:lncRNA from 1 species
UGCUUGGUAAUAUAUAAUGAUCUUUUUCUCUCUAGAUUUAAAAAAUAAGUGUAUGAAAUUCAUGAAUUUAAUUUGUAAAUUCCAACACUAUUUUUACUAUUAAUUUGUUUGGCUCUUCCAGAAAACUAAAGGCAAUUUUCUAAAAUGCUAAAACAUAUGAGUGAAUAUUUUUAUAUGAAUAUUUUAUAUUCACAUACAUUUAAUGAUGUUAAUAAAACUUAGGAAUCAAUAGCAUAUGCAAGGGUGUAGAGGUGUAUUGACCCCUUUUAUCAUAACACUCUUCACUUUUUUGGCUUAAAAUCAAUGAUCAGCUGUAAAAAUCUAACAAAGGGAAAUAACUGAAGAUGGGAAAUAAAACUGUAUUUUAAAAGUUUAGAGUUUUGAAAUCAGAAUGGCCAUUUCAUGUGUUCAUAUAAAUCCUGUAAAAGGGUACAUUAAAAAAUACAAAAAUAAAAUUGGUUGUUGCUCAUUUGAAGGUUUCAAACUUAAAAUAGAAAAAAAAAAUAACAUUAAGGGCACAUUGCUAUUCCUUUGAUACAAACCUCUAUAUAUUUUGAUUUUUUUGUGCAUGCCAAAUUUUAUUGAAUGUGAUCAAAUU